GAUGCUGUGUCACAUACUGCACUGAAUCCUCGGUGUAGUUGAUUCUUAUGUCAGACAGAAGAGGAGUUCCUAUUUCAUCAUAGAACCUGCAUGGAUGCACUGGUGUCGAUGACAAACACUACGUUUUUGGGCACAGCCGGCAGGUCUUUGGGAGCAAAGUAGUGGACAAAGUGGCCGUUCAACACCUGGAAACGUGCACACACGACAGGCAAUGAGAUCAACUGCAGAAUUAACAUGUGAUUGUCAAGAUUUAAGGGUAUCUCGAAGACAAACACUGGAUUUUGGCAUAAUAGCAGAGCAGGUGGCAGGAAGCCGACUGAAUUAAUGACUAGCAGAGGAGGCCGAAGAUGUGAUGCCCUUUCCAUUGCGCAGAGGCAAAACUUCCAGAUGUGUGAUGGGAGAGUGGUCCACGAUGGUUAUGUCUAAACUGAGGCGACUGACCAACUGCAGGGGCCGGAUACUGG